AUUGAACGCUGGCGGCAGGCCUAACACAUGCAAGUCGAACGGUAACAGGAAGCAGCUUGCUGCUUCGCUGACGAGUGGCGGACGGGUGAGUAAUGUCUGGGAAGCUGCCUGAUGGAGGGGGAUAACUACUGGAAACGGUAGCUAAUACCGCAUAAUGUCGCAAGACCAAAGAGGGGGACCUUCGGGCCUCUUGCCAUCGGAUGUGCCCAGAUGGGAUUAGCUUGUUGGUGGGGUAACGGCUCACCAAGGCGACGAUCCCUAGCUGGUCUGAGAGGAUGACCAGCCACACUGGAACUGAGACACGGUCCAGACUCCUACGGGAGGCAGCAGUGGGGAAUAUUGCACAGUGGGCGCAAGCCUGAUGCAGCAAUGCCGCGUGUAUGAAGAAGGCCUUCGGGUUGUAAAGUACUUUCAGCGGGGAGGAAGGGAGUAAAGUUAAUACCUUUGCUCAUUGACGUUACCCGCAGAAGAAGCACCGGCUAACUCCGUG
rnacentral:rRNA from 1 species